GUAAUUUAAUUUUUUAAUACUUUCGUCUUUUAUAUUUUAUAGGACAGAACAAGAAAGCUAGCAAAAUUUUAUAUAAAAUGCUAUCCAUAUUUUCAUUUCUCAUUGGAAUUUAUAAAUCUUGUUUAUCAAGUAAGCUAUGCAAUAGGUAAAAGUGCUUAUCACAGUCCUUUAUUGCAUAUAUCUAAUACUCAGUUGAGAACGUUAACUCAUGAAGAUCAGAUUCUUUUGGAAAAGAAGAAAACAAUUGUAAAUAAAAAUAUCAGAUGGAAAGGAUUUCCGUAUAACGUAUUUCAGAUAGGAAUUAAAAGUUUAGCAGCUGGUAUUUCCAUUAGUCUGUCUACUGGGGCUUUCUUUUUACAGUUUUUAGAUUGGUGGUAUAGUCAAGAUAACUCAGGAUAUUUUUCACAAUUUCCUAUUCCUCCACCUCCAGAAAAGUGGCCAUUGAAAUUUAAUAAAGGAAUUUGUCCACUCUGUCAUCAAAAACGAAGAAAUGAAACAGUUCUAUCCACCAGUGGGUAUGUAUAUUAUGACAGAAUACAAAUACAUAUAUAAAUAUUGAAUUUAAGAAUAAAACAUAUUAAUGAUUUGCUGUAGCUAUACAAAAAGUCAAAAGUAAAAUAAUGAAU